AUGUACAUUCCUAUAGCAUAUCAUUAAUGCACUAGAUCCCAUUAGAACUCCGCAGUUAAGCGUGUUGAGGAUAGAGUAGUACUAGGAUGGGUGAUCACUCGAGAAGUCUUGGUGUUUUACAUG
rfam:Picea glauca, whole genome shotgun sequence.